rnacentral:lncRNA from 1 species
GUGGCUCUGGUUACGGGUCUGGGUUUGGAAGUGGCCAUGGACAUGGUGAUGGUCCAGGAGGCGGUGGUGGUGGAGGAGGUGGAGGAGGCAGUAGUUCUGGUUCUGGAUAUGGCUCUGGAAGUGGAGGAGGAUAUGGUACAGGACUUGGAAUCAAUGAAUAUUUGGCACCAUUGGCAAGUUCUUUAGGAUUUGGCUUUGGCUCGGGCUAUGGAUCUGGUAGUGGCUCGGGUACAAAUGGUGGUGGCGGAGGAGGAGGAGGAGGCGGUGGAGGAAAUGGAUCCGGUAGUGGCUCGGGCUAUGGAUCUGGUAGUGGCUCGGGUACAAAUGGUGGUGGUGGUGGAGGAGGUGGAGGAGGUGGUGGUGGUGGAGGAAAAUAGAUUACAAUCAAGAUGAACCGAUAAAAUAAAUCAUUGAUUUCAUCUACUUACUACAAUAAAUAUAUACAAAUUUAAAAUUACUAAAAUCGAAUAAAAAUAUAUAAAACAAUAUUUUGAUACAUUUUAAUUAGAUCCCCAUUGUGUACUAAAAUUAUAUUAUAUUUAUA